rnacentral:lncRNA from 15 species
AUGACCUCUCCAGCUUCACAGGAUUACACUGACGGAAACAGGAUGAUCCUGAUGGAUAUAGAAGGCAGAUGUGUGAUGGUCACCGAGGACCUGAAACUGUGUGCUGUUGACCGUCAAGAAAAUGAAUCUUGGGUACAGAUAAAGGAACGCACACAUGAAGAGAACAUUUUACUGGCUAUACUCUUCUUGUAUAAUGGUCGUCAGUAUUAUGCCAAGGUGGAUGGAAACAAUGUGGUGUUGGAGAAGGCUGAUUGCUGUCAGGUCUCAGAGAGUAUCUGGUUCAUGAAGGUACAAUCGGGAUCUGGUAACCAUUACGGCCUGCGAUCCAUGGUUGGUCAGAAGAAAUACCUCUCUUAUAGCGAGAACAGGCCACGCAAUAUCCUCCUCGGUGAAAUGAAUCGUUUCUUUUCUCUUCAGCAAGCUUGAGCAUGAGUGUGUUUGUGUAAAGUGUGUUUUCCAUUAUUCUUACCAAAGUCAAUUUGUAUUCGGAUUAUUUUUCUGUUUUUUUUGGGCUUUUAUUUUUUCAGAAUGUUUGCCCACUUCAAAAUAGGAAAAAAAAUAGAGUAUUUAAAGAUAAAUUAUUUAUACCCGGGGGAAUAAGCGGUCCAGAUGUCUACAUUUGAAUGUUCUCAGGUGGCAUCUUGGCACGCCUGUCGCUACCUAUUAACAUACUGUUUAACCUUUUUCUUAAUGUUUAUUAAUGAUAUAUAUAUAUAUAUAUAUAUAUAUAUAUGAUAUAAAUGAGAUCCGGCUAAACCAAACAAAAAUGUAUACCCCAAAUAAAUGAAUAAAAAUACAGGACAGGAACAGGUAAUAAAGGCUUUCACUUCAUGUGAUGGUCAAAAGAAGAACAAAAUACACAUUAGGCACGGGACCAUUUUGUUGUAAUUCAUAAAUGACUUAUAAUUAGUACUCUAAUUUGUAAGCAUUUUUCACAGGCUUCAACAGAGAGAUCGGAAUGUGAUUAGUUUUGCAUGUAUUUAGUCAUAAAUAAAUAUUGGACACAUUUUAGACCAGAUGCUGCUGUUAGAUGAACAAGUAAGGGAUUAUCAAAGUAAUGGUGCUACAUGAAAAGUCAAGGCAUCACCCUAACUUCCCACACUAUAAUUUAAAUUUAUGUCUAAUCAUUUGAUAUAUGAGCCUGCUGGCAAAUUCUUUUAAACGUGCCUUUCAAACUCUUUGGCCUAGUUUGUACUUGUCCUCCUGAACUAUGGAAGACAUGCAACUGUUUCUGAAGUUGAGUAGUUCUCCACAUGAUGAGUAAACUGAUCUUCAAGGAUAAAAUUGGUUUCCCUUUUGGUGUGAAAAUAUUCCUAAAAUGCUUUUUUUUAAUGUGUGUAUUUAAGUGGGGAAAGGGUGUUUUAUUAUUAUUUUUUAGCAAAUAUCCUUGUAUUUCUUUUUAUUCUAUAAUUAUGCAGCUUCAUCAGUGUCAUUUCUCAUUUUCAUUCUAAUAGUGUAACUAUGUAACUAUGUAAACAUAAGCACAAGUUGUAAUAAACAGUUGUAUAUCCUGAAUUGUGUCCUAGUGCAUUAGCAAGAGUGUGCAAGAGACAUUUCUUUAAAUUGGGUUCAAAUCUUAGUCACUCUCAUUCUCUUCCCAUACACUAUUAUGUAAUAUUUUGCUGUUGAUAUGAAAGGAAAACUUAU